UACGAAGGGGGCUAGCGUUGCUCGGAAUUACUGGGCGUAAAGCGCACGUAGGCGGCUUUCUAAGUCGGGGGUGAAAUCCUGGAGCUCAACUCCAGAACUGCCUUUGAUACUGAAGAGCUUGAGUUCGGGAGAGGUGAGUGGAACUGCGAGUGUAGAGGUGAAAUUCGUAGAUAUUCGCAAGAACACCAGUGGCGAAGGCGGCUCACUGGCCCGAUACUGACGCUGAGGCACGAAAGCGUGGGGAGCAAACAGG
rnacentral:rRNA from 1 species